UCUUCUCUCAGGACUGGUUUCCAUAUUGUACCUACUAUAUAUUCUCUUUUAUAGGCAGAUAUACACACACUCGUUGGCUAUAAAGGAAGAAACAAUGUCCCUCAAAAAGAAAUAUCCCAGGGGCAGCUAGAAGGCAAUUGAUGGAAAGCCAAGCCUACAGAUAGGAGUUCCUUCAGCACAUGGGAUCUUCAUCACUCUGGAACAUUCCAAGCUGGUUCCUUCCUCUCAUUGAGUUUCUUUUAAGAUCACACUGAGGACACAUUAGUUCAAAAUAAGAAGCAUUUGUUUGAAAGAAAAGGCAAGCUAAUCAACACAUGAGAAUUCCUGCCACCUAUUCCAAAAAUGGUUCCUGAGCCAUGGGCAGAGGAGGGAGCAGUCCUGAUCUUGGCUGCUACUUCUGCAUCACAGCAGGAACAAAUAAACCAGUCACACAAUAGGAUCCAAAAGAGAAGGACUGGAUGUUCUGUGUCUUGGCUCCAGAUGAACCACUCUGGGCUUCUCCUGCUGCUUACAAGUGUGAUAUGUGUGUGAUGGGCAUAAUCAGGGAAACCCCCUCUCAUUGGCUCUGGCUAGAGAGAAAUCCAGAAUGUUUGGAGCUGAGCCAAGCCUUUUAUAUAUGCUACAUUUAACCUGGUUUUCUCUCCACUGAGCUAUGUGUUUUGGCUCAGUGCUGAAAGACCUAUUGCUUUAGGGUGGUGCAAUAAUCCUAAAUUGCCCCUUGGUUCUCACCCUCUACUCUCCCAUCCCUGGUGGGAAGAACCUGCAAUAAAGUUCCAUCACAAGAUGUCACCACGGAUUCAGAAAGAAAUGUUCCUUCACUACCCCUUAAGAGGAGUGACCCCCGCCCCCAUCUCUUCCUUCUUGUUUGGAGAAAAUGUAGCCUGGAACUUCCCAAGAGGGAUGGUGGAGGAUAUCCAGCAGCUAAGGCACCUUUAAACACAUGGUGCCUAGGGAAACUUGGGACUGAACCUUGGGACUCUGGCUACCUUUUCGGUCUUGUUUUUCUUUCUCUAAACAUCAGUGAUGAAAGAGUGGUCAUAAGAUACAGUCUUUUCAAGAGUGGCUACCUCAGGGAGUCAGGGGUUCCCGGGUUCCUGAGUCAUUGUUGGCCACACUUAUUGAAGGUUCCAACUGGAAGAUAAUGACUGGCUGGAGAAGCCCAAAUUGUGGCUUGAAGACAUCUGUCUUGAGCAAGCACAGAUGGUAUAACAUAAAAGCAAUAGUGAAAUGACAAUUCAGCAGACUCUGUGAUAGAGGAAUGAUCCAGAGACUUUGAAGGACAGAGGCUGGAAGCAAUGCAAAGGUUCAUCCACAGCGGGGGAUGCUUGAGAAGGCUUGGAAUCUUGAGGAAAGAGGAGAUUCCAAGGAGAGGCAGUUGAUCUCUCUCUCUCUUGAGACAGCAAUGGUGAUGGUCUGAUCAGAGACUGUAUCCUGAGCCAUACAAAAUCCCUCACUGAACUUAACCACCAUUUCCUCCCCCAAGAUACCAAGAUACCCGAGAAGAACAAGAACAGCACCAGAAGAUCUCACACAGCUCCUGUGACACCCUAGGUCUGAACAUUGGCUCUGCUGUGACAAAGACCAGGACUCACAACCUGAACCUCUCAGAGACCAUGCAUCAAGCCUGUCUCUCAACUUUGGAGGGAGAAAUAAAGAUAUUUUAGACAGACAGGGACUUCCUUUCCCCUCUUUCCUCUAGACCCCAACCUUCAGCCAUCUUUCUUAUCUUACCCCUAACCACAGUUGUUAGAAUAAAGUUGUCAGUUAUCCUAAAUUGACUUCCUUGUCAUAGUGGAAGAGGAAGAGACCUGAUUUCUCUCUCUUUUCCCAAGGGAAGAGGUUCAUCCAUUAAAUCGGUUAUUAGAGGGGAGUAAAGGCAGGGUUAGUGGAGAGACAUAUUUGAAGAAGACCGAAAGGGGGGAUCCAUCUUACCCUACUAUCUUCUGGGCAUUUAUCAUCAACUCUUUCUCCAUUAUACCCAAACCAACCCUCUCAUACAACUCAUAAAAUGUCUCAUUUUUUCAUAUUUUGGGUAUCAACCUGCCAGAUUAGCUAUAUGUUUAAAUCUAUGUAAUUGUAUGCUUGUGAGUAUUUUUACUUUUUAAGCAUUAAUUUUGUAGUGAAAAAAAAAUAAAGAGCUGUC